rnacentral:rRNA from 1 species
UACGUAGGGGGCAAGCGUUGUCCGGAUUUAUUGGGCGUAAAGAGCGUGUAGGCGGUCAGGUAGGUCCGUUGUGAAAACUCGAGGCUCAACCUCGAGACGCCGAUGGAAACCAUCUGACUAGAGUCCGGAAGAGGAGAGUGGAAUUCCUGGUGUAGCGGUGAAAUGCGCAGAUAUCAGGAAGAACACCUGUGGCGAAAGCGGCUCACUGGACCAUUACUGACGCUGAGGCACGAAAGCUAGGGGAGCAAACAGG